GACGAACGCUGGCGGCGUGCUUAACACAUGCAAGUCGAGCGGUAAGGCCCUUUCGGGGGUACACGAGCGACGAACGGGUGAGUAACACGUGGGUGACCUGCCCUCAGCUCUGGGAUAAGCCUGGGAAACCGGGUCUAAUACUGGAUAUGACUCCAUGACGCAUGUUGUGGGGUGGAAAGCCUUGUGCGGCUGAGGAUGGGCCCGCGGCUUAUCAGCUUGUUGGUGGGGUGANGGCCUACCAAGGCGACGACGGGUAGCCGGCCUGAGAGGGCGACCGGCCACACUGGGACUGAGACACGGCCCAGACUCCUACGGGAGGCAGCAGUGGGGAAUCUUGCGCAAUGGGCGAAAGCCUGACGCAGCGACGCCGCGUGAGGGAUGACGGCC
rnacentral:rRNA from 1 species